rnacentral:rRNA from 1 species
UACGAAGGGGGCGAGCGUUGUUCGGAUUUACUGGGCGUAAAGGGCGCGCAGGCGGCUCAUUUUGUCAGGCGUGAAAGCCCCGGGCUUAACCUGGGAACUGCGUUUGAUACGGAUGGGCUAGAGUUCGGGAGAGGAGAGUGGAAUUCCCAGUGUAGAGGUGAAAUUCGUAGAUAUUGGGAAGAACACCGGUGGCGAAGGCGGCUCUCUGGACCUGUCCUGACGCUCAGGCGCGAAAGCUAGGGGAGCAAACGGG